CCUACGUGCUGCUGCAGUGAGGAAUAUUGGUCAAUGGGCGCGAGCCUGAACCAGCCAAGUAGCGUGAAGGAUGACUGCCCUACGGGUUGUAAACUUCUUUUAUAAAGGAAUAAAGUGAUGCACGUGUGCCUUUUUGUAUGUACUUUAUGUAUAAGGAUCGGCUAACUCCGUGCCAGCAGCCGCGGUAAUACGGAGGAUCCGAGCGUUAUCCGGAUUUAUUGGGUUUAAAGGGAGCGACGAUGGGUUGUUAAGUCAGUUGUGAAAGUUUGUGGCUCAACCGUAAAAUUGCAAUUGAUACUGGCAGCCUUGAGUGCAGUUGAGGUAGGCGGAAUUCGUGGUGUAGCGGUGAAAUGCUUAGAUAUCACGAAGAACUCCGAUUGCGAAGGCAGCCUACUAAACUGCCACUGACAUUGAUGCUCGAAAGUGUGGGUAUCAAACAGGAUUAGAUACCCUUGUAGUC
rnacentral:rRNA from 1 species